rnacentral:rRNA from 1 species
UACGGGGGGGGCAAGCGUUGUUCGGAAUCACUGGGCGUAAAGGGCUCGUAGGCGGCCAACUAAGUCAGACGUGAAAUCCCUCGGCUUAACCGGGGAACUGCGUCUGAUACUGGAUGGCUUGAGUUCGGGAGAGGAGAGUGGAAUUCCCAGUGUAGAGGUGAAAUUCGUAGAUAUUGGGAAGAACACCGGUGGCGAAGGCGGCUCUCUGGACCGAGACUGACGCUGAGGCGCGAAAGCGUGGGGAGCAAACAGG